rnacentral:lncRNA from 1 species
AAAGACUACCGUUAAAAUCAACGGUAGUAGACGUGUUCUUUGUCUUUCCGUGAAUGAAGCAGAGAUGGGUACAGGUGGGAAAAUAGAUCAGCUGGGAAAAUAAACACCCCUUCAGCCACGCACUUGUUUUCUAAAUAUGCCAGUAUGGCAAAUGUCGAACCCUUUAAAAGGCCUACAGUGAAACUGGCCUCUAAGUAUGUUUUCCUAAAGACGACAUAAUGGGGUUUUUUUUUUUCUUACAUGUCACGCACUUUUCUAAAACACUAAAGGACUUUUUUCAGGAUUCCCUGGUCAUAAUGUUCUUAUAAAAUAGAUGAUUUAUCACUUUAAUCUCUUUGAGAGUCAAACUAUAGUAAAGAAUCAAAUAGUAUUACCAGAAAAAAAAAGCAACAAAAGGGGCUGGGGCUUUAGCUCAGCGGCACAGCGCCUGCCUGGCAAGCACAACGUCGUGAGUUCGAUUCCAGAGAGAAACCAAAGGAAGCAAGAAAAUAUACAUGUAAACCGCAAAGAUGAAAAAAUGAAUAAGCCAGAAAGAUGCUGGGCAUGGUGAUGCACGCCUAUAAUCCUAGCACUCCGGAGGCUGAGGCAGGAGAAUAUUCGAGUUUGAAGCAGCCUGAACCACAUGGUGAGUUCAAGGCCAGCCUGAACUGUACAGCAAGAUUCUGUCUCAAAAAAACAGAAAGCUACUGUGUCGUCCAUUACUGAGACACCACAGGGUGUGGUGCAGGCAUUAUCAAAAUGGCACUCUGUUAUGUUAAAAUGACAUAUGGUAGGCUUCCAAAAUGAACAGUAUUUUGUGUGUACUGGGUUGGAUCACAGUCCUCACACAAGAUUUUUUGAAGGGCAUGGGUAAGAAAGGGUUUUAAAUGUU